AUACUACAACAUAACCCUUAUGCUCAAGCUUUUAGAAGCAUUGGUGUUGUUCCAAAUCUGGAUGAGUAUAGGAUCUCACUGAACACAGAUAUCAACCUUGAUCAGCGAAGGUACAAUGCGCCAACUACUUCGCAAGUAGCAGCAAUAUGGGUUGAAGGAAGUGACCCUCGAAAAAGCUUUGAUAGGAGUGUUGUCGGUCUUAUUGACACCGUCUAUGCUGGCGAGUCACGUGGUGAUCGGAUUGGCAAGAGAAUAGUGCUUCCACGUACAUUUCCUGGUGGUGACCGUGACAUGCAGCGCAGGUUUCUGGAUGUGAUGGCAAUAGUACAACGAUGGGUUAAACCGGAUUAUUUUAUCACCGUGACAUGCAAUCCCUACUAG
rnacentral:rRNA from 1 species